GACGAACGCUGGCGGCGUGGAUUAGGCAUGCAAGUCGAACGGUAUCAUCCUUUCGGGGGUGAGAGAGUGGCGAACUGGUGAGUAACACGUAGGUUAUCUACCCUCAAGACGGGGGCAACCCAGGGAAACUUGGGCUAAUACCGGAUGUGAGCAACUUUUAGUUGUUUGAAAGGUGGCGUAAGCUGUCGCUUGGGGAUGAGCCUGCGUCCUAUUAGUUAGUUGGUGAGGUAACGGCUCACCUAGGCAAUGAUAGGUAGGCGGCCUUAACGGGUGGUCGCCCACACUGGGAUUGAGAUACGGCCCAGACUCCUACGGGAGGCAGCAGUCGAGAAUAGUCUACAAUGGUCGGAAGACUGAUAGUGCGACGCCGCGUGAACGAUGAAUCCCUUCGGGGUUAAAGUUCUUUUAUAUGUGAGCAGUGCUUCUUAUAUUAACAGUAUGGGGAGAGAGAUAUUAGCAUAUGAAUAAGCAACGGCUAACUCCGUGCCAGCAGCCGACGGU
rnacentral:rRNA from 1 species